rnacentral:rRNA from 1 species
GUCUACGAGAGGUUUCGAAUUCCUGGCUCAGAAUGAACGUUGGCGGCGUGGAUUAGGCAUGCAAGUCGUACGGUAAGCCUUUUAGCUUGCUAGGAGGCCUAGAGUGGCGAAAGGGAUAGGACAAUGUAGAUGACAUACCCUCGGGACCGGGAUAGCGUUUGGAAACGAACGGUAAUACCGGAUAACAUCCCCGGAUCAAAGGUGAGAUUCCGCCUGAGGAUUGGUUUACACACUAUUAGAUAGUUGGCGGGGUAAAAGCCCACCAAGUCGACGAUGGUUACCGGGCGUGAGAGCGUGACCCGGAUCACUGGGACUGAGACACUGCCCAGACACCUACGGGUGGCUGCAGUCGAGAAUCUUCGGCAAUGGGCGCAAGCCUGACCGAGCGACGCCGCGUGUGCGAUGAAGGUCUUCGGAUUGUAAAGCACUGUCGUGUGGGAGGAAGUCACGUUGGGUCAUCCUGGCGUGUUGACCUAUCACAGGAGGAAGGACGGGCUAAGUUCGUGCCAGCCGCCGC